AUAACACUGCCCUCUAUUAUUUAUUAGCAGCCUUUAUUUCUCCCAGCAAAAUAAUUCCCUUCCUCCCCUGGUCGGUCAGGAGCGCAGCGCGAUGCCGUCACCCUGUCCCUCAGGACAUGGGCAUGGUUUGGAGCAGAUGGGGCACUGCGGUGUCCCGGCCGAGUGCCACCAGGGGUGUUCGUGUCGCGUGGGACCCGUGUGGUGUCCCCAUCCCAGUGUGCAGCUGUGAUCUGCAUGGCCCCGGGGACACAGCUCCGGCGGUCCCGCGCUGCCCGGGGUUUGUGUUGGCUGUAUUGACUGCAUUUGUUACGGCUGGGGCUCAAUAUUGAAAUUACUCAGAACUCCAGAUAGCCAAGCUGAAUCAAUCGGUUUGUUAGUGGGAGCCAAAGGCAACAGCGAAGGGAUAUUGCAUCCUCAGAGGGAGGACACGGCAGGGAGGGAUCGGCCCCAUGACCACGUUCACAGAGAUCUUUGUGAUUUUGCCUGUCACCGUGUCUUUGCUUUAGCCCUAACAUCCCAAACUCGGCAGGUCCGUGACCUCCCCUUCUCCUGAGGCCAGCUCCUCGGGCAGCUCUCAGGAGCAGGCCUCAUCCCCCAGCCGGGCAGCACAGCUGGGGCUUAGCCCAAGCAGGAGGGAGGCAGCGGUGCUGCCGCUCGCAUGAGCGUUGUUUCCAAGACCCAAACGUGGACGUGAGGAUCAGCAAGGAAAAUCCAUCACCAGCUCAUGUGCAGGCGUGAGACUCGGGUGUCUGGCACUGCGGGAUUCCCAGCAGUGAGAGGCUCUGUCUAACAGGGGAACGCUGCCCUUGUCCCGCUCACUGCUCCCCGCCUGGCCACGCAGCGGGGAAUCACCGCCGCUUCCAGCCGCAGGCACCUCUCUGCUGGAAGGCACCGGGCGGACUGGGUGGCAUUGCCAUGGCAAUUGUCACCUGGGAAACUGAGAGGUGUGGAGCUGACAAAACGGAGGUGUUCGCUCGCCUUUCUUCAGGAAGCAGGUUGGCUCAGACUGGCAUCCAGCCCCGGUGUGCAAACCCAUCAGAUGGGCUCUGUCCAGGAGGAAGGGACCCAGAAAGGAGAAGGCUGAGCCACGGAGAAACAAACAACAAAUCGACCUGCGGAGGGAGCGAGGAGGGACCGAGAUGUUCCUGCAGCAGGACACCAGACCGCCGCGGACCGACGCACAGGCGGCAGCGCGACCUUCGCCUGUGCUGGUGCAAGGUUUCGCCCCGUGCUUCUCUUCCUAGAGCUAGCAUGUGGGCCAGGCUGAAACAGCGACGCAAAACCUGGGAGAUUCCUCGCAGGCUUCCAGGCAGCGAUGGCGUCUUCUCCUAAGGGCAUGCUCCUCGAUUCCAGGGCAGGAGGAGACGGAGGGGAAAUAAUUCACUCUUAAGGAGAGCCCAAGCACAGGAAAAAUUUGGGGGCAGAAAGUGAGAAACAUCCAACAGCGGGUGGAAACUCCAUCCCUGUUCCAGAAGUUGGAAAAAUGCUGAAAUAUCCUGAGGAGGAUGAUCCAGCAUCGCAAGGACACUGUCUGAUGGGCAAGGGCUGCUGCGUGGCGGGGGCUAUUAUUUCUUCAUGUGAUCAAAGUGAAUAAUUAAUACAGAGAUGAAGUGAUUUCCUCAUGGUUUCCUGGGGGCCUUAUUCCUCCUCAGCAGCACCAGGGAUGGCAGAAGAGGCUGGGGAGGAGGUGCUGGGCAGGGAUGAGGCUGCCCUGUGAAGGGCAGAGUGAGCAGCACUUGUUCCACGGAUGUCCGAGCUCCGUGCUGGGAUCAGACAGCCACCCGGCAAUAAAUAUCCCUGGCUGAAUCA
ensembl:lncRNA